rnacentral:rRNA from 1 species
AUUGAACGCUGGCGGCAGGCCUAACACAUGCAAGUCGAGCGGUAGAGAGGUGCUUGCAUCUCUUGAGAGCGGCGGACGGGUGAGUAAUGCCUAGGAAUCUGCCUAGUGGUGGGGGAUAACGUUCGGAAACGGACGCUAAUACCGCAUACGUCCUACGGGAGAAAGCGGGGGGAUCUUCGGACCUCGCGCCAUUAGAUGAGCCUAGGUCGGAUUAGCUAGUUGGUGAGGUAAUGGCUCACCAAGGCGACGAUCCGUAACUGGUCUGAGAGGAUGAUCAGUCACACUGGAACUGAGACACGGUCCAGACUCCUACGGAGGCAGCAGUGGGGAAUAUUGGACAAUGGGCGAAAGGACCUGAUCCAGCCAUGCCGCGUGUGUGAAGAAGGUCUUCGGAUUGU